UAAAGUGAAUUUCAAUGCAUU
rnacentral:piRNA from 1 species